rnacentral:rRNA from 1 species
UCAAUCUCGUGUGGCUAAACGCCACUUGUCCCUCUAAGAAGUUAACACCGACAGAGUGCAAUCGGUGAACUAUUUAGCAGGCUAGAGUCUCGUUCGUUAU